rnacentral:lncRNA from 1 species
AUAGCAACUCAUUGUGUAAAUGUGUAUUCGAGCGCAAAGGUGCUGGUCCAGCGCCAUAGUUGACGAGCAGCGAGGUUUGUCGGCACGUUGUAUCUCACGGCAAGUGGGCCCCCUGAGCUAGGAGACCUUGGUUAUGCAUUGAGACUUUGGUUAUGCAUUGUCAAUCGGUCCGUUCCAAAUGCAGUAGUCUCAAGUUAAGUGGAUUCACCCUGAUAGGUCGUGCAGGCACCCAGAACGUGGCGCUAGCGGGCAGCUUUACGCAGACCCCAGGCGUCUUUAUCUUGGCGUUGCAGACAACUCCCUUCCCCCAAAUCGCUAAACCUUGUGCCGCCCGAUUUUUCACGCUCUCGUUGCAGCACACCUCUGGGGACCCGGCUGGUGCUGGUGCAGACCCGGCUGGUGCUGGCGCAGACCCGGCUGGGGCCUGGGCGGGCUCCAUAGUCGUCACGAGGCCUGUCACUACGUUCAUAGCGGUCUUGUGUUGGGCGCAGAGAGAGUCAGCCACAGGAAGUUGCAGGACGGGGGCCCGCCGCUGCUCUUGACGAGUUGACGGAGUAAACGGUGAACAUGGGACGGAUAUGAAAGGGAAACCCCUCCCCCCAGCUGGCUGCCGGCCUUCACCAAAUCGUGCAUUGUUGGACGGAUAUGCAGCUUGCCCAAGAGCUUGCCCCCCCCCAGCUCGUUGCGCUGCAGGUUAAACAUAUCUAAUGCUGGGGUUCCGGUGUCGGGGGAGGCUUUGGCUGCCGGUGCCAUUGCUGGUGCUCUGGCCCAUUUGUGGGCCUUGAAGUGGGAGAACCGCCACGGCGCCACAAGCAGCCUCGAGGAGGCGUAGGGAGGCGCUUUGGCGGGUGGCUGCCAAUGCAUGUUGGGCGUUCUUAAGGACUGGUAGUGAGCGUGCGACUGGGAGAGUAUAAUGGUGGUGCCUCCAUGUCGCGCGUCGGGUACGGACAUGCACGUUUUUGGGAAUGUGUUGUGGGACUUGUGCCUUGUGAUGGAACAUGGCAAGGGGCAGGAAAGCGUAGUCUACUUGUGGCAUGGGCACUGCAGGAGACGCAUAGGGUGGUCUCACUGUUCUGCCUCAAUCCGCUGCUGCCCUGAUAACAUGUGUACAGACGACGUCGAGGAAUCUCUGAGGUGGAAUGAGG